rnacentral:rRNA from 1 species
AUACAGAGGGUGCGAGCGUUAAUCGGAUUUACUGGGCGUAAAGCGUGCGUAGGUGGUUGGGUAAGUCAGAUGUGAAAGCCCCGGGCUUAACCUGGGAACUGCAUUUGAUACUGCCUAGCUAGAGUUUGGUAGAGGGAAGUGGAAUUCCAGGUGUAGCGGUGAAAUGCGUAGAUAUCUGGAGGAACACCAGUGGCGAAAGCGGCUUCCUGGACCGAAACUGACACUGAGGAGCGAAAGCGUGGGGAGCAAACGGGAUUAGAAGCCCCAGUAGUCC